UAACAAGCAACACGUUUUUGGUAUCCCUUCUGUUUUUUGGUUUAAGGAGUUAUAUUCUGUUACAGCACUCGUUGUGCCUGGCAGUCCCAUAAGCUGUACACUGGUUUAACGUUUUAACGAGACCUUACGGAUAUCUAGGACCAGCUGUGAACUGCAUGCUUCUUCCAGAAGGAUUCGAUAGAAAAUGGUAAUAUCCGGUAAAGCAAGAAACAUCUUCAACGAUUUCAAUGAUUCUAUUAAAUUUUGACAGGCCAAGAGGUAUUUAUUUUUUUUAAUUUUGCAAGGUUUAGUGUUACACUUAUAACACUGUAACACUGAAAUGAAAAUUAGUAUAAGUAUACUGGCAUAUUAACGUGUUUUGUAAAGUGUAAAGUAUGCUUUACAAACACCAUGUGUGUUAACUAAGCCUCGGUAGUUUGACGCAAUCGACACAAUUAUACAUAAAAUAUAAUACAUAAAACAUAAAUAUAUAAAGUUUUACAUUUGUUUUUAUUAAAUUAAUGGUAUAACUUAAAUAAUUAUUUAUUUUAAUUUUCGAUGAUUAGGGUUAUAAAUGUAUCACUGUAGUACUGAACUGGAAAUUAGUAUAAGUUUACUGACAUAUUAACGUGUUUUAUUAAGUGUAAAGUACGCUUUAUAAACAACAUGUGUGUUAACUAAGCUUCGCGAGGUUGACCCAAUCGACACAAUUAUACACAAAAUAUAAUACAUAAACCAUAAAUAUAUAAAGUUUCACAUUUGUUGACGUGAUAACGUCUUUAAAAUCGUUUUAGUCGGGUGACAUGUUCAGAAACUGUGUCACGAGGCCUCUCGAGGCCGAUCGCAGGUAUACCCCCCUCUCGUUAUAACGAGAGAGAGACGGACCGAUCUCCCGUCUCAUCUCGAGCGCUGCCAGUCAUUCCGUGAAACUUGUCACGCGGAAUCCACACGAGCGGAGGCAGGCAUAGCGUUCGAGUGAGUGGACCGAUCUUCCGUCUCUCUCACUCUAGCGGCAUACAAACGAAUGGAGAUUUUCUCGUGCGGUUAAGUUUUCGUUGAAUGUUUAACAGUAAAACAAAAUGUGAAGUGCAAGUGAAGUGUUACAACAAUUGCAACAACUACGUGUUUAUCAGUACGAUUGUGUAUAAACAACUUUUUUUGUUCGACGGACUCGUGAUAUCACUGCAUACCUGCCUUGUACCCGGCUACGCGCAGCGCACACGGCAGUUGUUUCACCGCGUGGUCCGCGAGCGUGUCUCUCUAAUCGUCACGCGUUUUGAGGUUUUAAUUGUAUUAAUCUUCGUGUAUUCUUUCGGCCAUCGGCAAUAUAUUCGCAAUGGGCAUGUGUGCCUGUUUCGUUUAAUGAUUUAUGGCGGUUAGAUUCUUCUUAUGUUAGAAAUAAGUGUCCGUUAAUCCCCGCGCGAGUUUUCAGUUGAUAGAAUAUAUUACAGGAUAAAAAAUCUCCUCAUCAAUGCACAGGUGGGUGGAUAAUUAAAAUUUUUUGCGGAAAGUUAAGGCGGUUUAACUUAUAGUGGCAUGCUUGAUUUAAUUAUUACAAGCACGGUUUUUAAAAUUCAUGUUGUCGAUCACGCUUACUUUGCCGUCGGUCGUCGGUUCGGUCAUGCUUUCGAUGAUCACGUAAACAUUUUUAAUAGAAUUGCAUCAUUAAAUUAAUAAUUUCUUGGUGAAAUAAAAUCUUGAACGGUGAAUAGUUCUUCGUGUUCACAGUCUCAGUAUAUCUUAAUAUUUAUAAAGAAAUAGUUAUUUUUAUCGUCUUUAACCACUGUCUUGCUUCGCGCCGUCGCUUGCCGUCUGUUGAUUUAGGUAUUUUCCGCCGUAUAUUCUAUCAAUUUGUAAUGAUGCUUUGCCCGUCGGCUACUUUAUACCGUUGAUGCUACCAUCAAUUAAUAAAUAUACAUUUAGAAUAUAUUAAAAUGUAAGUGUUUUAUUUUUGUAGCACCUUCAAUUUUUCGAUGUUUUUCGGGUAAAAUCUCUGAUUGUAUAUUAAUAUAUUGUUGUUAAUUGGUAAAUUUCCCUCUUCAUAUUGUGAAUAUUGACUCCUUUUGUAGUUUCUAAAAUUUUCUUUUCGCAACACCCUGUAUAUUAGUUUUCCUUUGUGUUCGUGAAAAUUUUGCUGUCGUUUUUAGUAUUUUCCCGUUUGCACUUUGAAUUUUCUUUCUGGAACACCCUGUAUAUUAGUUUCCCUGAUCGUCGCGUGAAAACGAACGGCGUUUGUAGUGUUUUGUAGAGUUUUUUGUUUGCACUUUAAAUUUACCUUUUGUAACACCCUGUAUAUUUGUUUCCAUUUUCAAUCACCUAGAGAAUUGGCUAUUUACUAAUUUCAUUAUUUCGGUAGAACUUUAUGAAGUAGUACUUGCUGGCAUGUGCGUGGCUAUGCAGGUCAUAAGUCCUGUUUCAAUAUGGCGGUAUUCUGUUGACUUGUAAAAUAUAAACUUGUAUUCUAUUGUUAAUAAAGAAAUAGUAAAAUAUA